rnacentral:rRNA from 1 species
AUUGAACGCUGGCGGAAUGCUUUACACAUGCAAGUCGAACGGCAGCACGGGUGCUUGCACCUGGUGGCGAGUGGCGAACGGGUGAGUAACAUAUCGGAACGUAUCCAAUAAUGGGGGAUAACUAAUCGAAAGGUUGGCUAAUACCGCAUACGCCCUACGGGGGAAAGCUAGGGACCUUCGGGCCUGGCGUUAAUGGAGCGGCCGAUAUCUGAUUAGCUAGUUGGUGGGGUAAGAGCCCACCAAGGCGACGAUCAGUAGCUGGUCUGAGAGGACGACCAGCCACACUGGAACUGAGACACGGUCCAGACUCCUACGGGAGGCAGCAGUGGGGAAUUUUGGACAAUGGGCGCAAGCCUGAUCCAGCCAUUCCGCGUGAGUGAAGAAGGCCUUCGGGUUGUAAAGCUCUUUCGCAAGGGAAGAAAACUUAGCCUCUAACAUAGGCUGAGGUUGACGGUACCUUGAUAAGAAGCACCGGCUAACUACGUGCCAGCAGCCGCAGUAACAC